ACGAGGACAUGGAGCGGGGAGAGACAGUUACUGACCAAUCGGAGCGUGGCGACAACGUCCCAAAGGUGGGAGAAUCGUCCCAGAGCUUCUGUUGGUCCCAAGCCCCAACCGUCCUCAUCCGCAGAGACGUCAGCCCGGAGAACUCCAUGGAGGACAGUGUGUUUGACAACUCAGGUGUUCUGCCCAGCAGCAAGCCUCGUCUCCUCUAUCCUCGAAGCCCGGAGUCUAAGAAGGCCUCGCUGGACAGGAAAUGAACCCUGAGGAGGGACCUUCCAACUUGAGACUGCCUUCAUGAGAAUGCUGCUGCACUGCAUUCACAGUUUAGGUUCUAGAAAAGUUAAGUUUUAUUUGUAAUGCAUUGAUGUUAAUAUUGAUGUUCAGAUUGUAGGACAUUUAAACGUACCAAUGUUUACAAUGUACGUUUCACAACUAAAACAAAGUUUUACACAACAAUUUUCUGUUUUAUUGCACUGUGAUUUUGGAUGUUAAAAAAAAAUCCUGGUUUUUGACUAAAGCAGGGAAAUCACUUCGUCAAAACCAUUGACACACAGGGAAUGUAAUAUAUGUAUAAUUGUUUUUAUUUUCUCAUUUACAAAAAUGCAUGCAGAAAUGAAUGAAUCCCAAAUACAUAUUUUUUCCUGACCGUCACUGAAUAGGUCUAUGUGGUUGUUUUGAAUCCCCCUCCACUGAGAUAAUUAUAAGAUGUUUAUCAAAGUAGAUAUACUGUAUGUCAAAUUGUAACCACUGAGGUCAGCUGCUCAUUUGGAUGUCCAGGUCUAGAGUACAUGGUGACUGUGCUAAACAAAAUCUCAGGGUUGGGCAGCGAUGUCCAGAAUAUUGUGGGUUCUAAUCGUCAACUAAUCAUAAACUGUUUUGGAAAAUUGGUGUGCUGAAAGUUGACCACCAAAAGUCAAUAACAAUAAUCCCCAUUCUACAAAUCUAGUAUGUAUGAUGUUUGUAAUGCAUCUAUGUGUCUUGUCACCAAAAUCCAGUUUGAGUGCCAACAAAGCUUCUAUAAAUAAUACAUUGAUUGUACUGAUUAAAGAAGAAUAUGAAUAGAAUAGCAAAAGUUUAAAAGUAAUAUGAGUAAAAGUAGCCUACUCUAUACAAGCAGCAUGAGAGAAAAAAAAAAAUCUGUAAUUUCAUCCUUUAUGUCAACAGGUAUUUGCUGUAAUCCCAUAACAAUGUUCAACAUUAAAA